AAAUUGAAGAGUUUGAUCAUGGCUCAGAUUGAACGCUGGCGGCAGGCCUAACACAUGCAAGUCGAACGGUAACAGAAAGAAGCUUGCUUCUUUGCUGACGAGUGGCGGACGGGUGAGUAAUGUCUGGGAAACUGCCUGAUGGAGGGGGAUAACUACUGGAAACGGU
rnacentral:rRNA from 1 species